CUCUGCGCCGAGGCUCCAGCCGGCAAGGAGCCUGGCCCAUGACACGUGCGGUUGCCCGCGUUCCCUCCCCACGUGGUGGGAGUCUCUGAGGGUCUCUGCGGGGCGCCCGGAUGCCUGAGGAGCCAGGCAGCCGCACAGGAGCCCCCAGGGCGGCAGGAAGGGCAGGGUGACCCCCGACUGCACAUGCCAGCCCCCACCCCACACUGCUGUCUGCUCUCAGGGAAGAACCUGCGUUAGCUGCGACAUUUUGGAAUCAGUCUCAUUCUCUGAGUUAGGCCACUCCUGGAGAUGGGCUGGCCCCGAGACCAGGGCCAAAUCCCAGCCCCACCGAGGGCUGUGGCGCCUCCUUGAGCAGCACCCUUCCCCGCUCCAGGCCUUGGUACGGCACAGGAGGAGGGCACCCACCUGGGCAGGGUCAGGUGGGGGCGUGGAGGUCCCCAGGGGAGCCCCCAAAGCCACUGUGCGGCAACAGACAUUCAGGACGGCAGGAGGGAGAGCCUCGGGUGGCUGCUGGAAAGGGGUGAGCAUGGAGUGUGAGUGUGUGAGAAGUGUGUGUGAGAAGUGCAUGAGUGUAUGAGGAGUGUGUGUGUGAGGAGUACGUGUGAGAAGUGCGUGUGUGAGGAGUGUGUGUGUGAAGAGUGUGUGAGUGUGUGAGGAGUGCGUGUGUGAGAGGAGUGUGUGUGAGGAGUGUGUGUGAGGAGUGCGUGUGUGAGGAGUGUGUGUGUGGAGUGCGUGUGUGUGAGGAGUGUGAGGAGUGCAUGUGUGAGGAGUGCGUGUGUGAGGAGUGCAUGUGUGUGAGUGUGUGUGUGAGGAGUGUGUGUGAGGAGUGUGUGUGUGAGGAGUGCGUGUGUGAGGAGUGCGUGUGUGUGAGGAGUGUGUGUGUGAGGAGUGUGUGAGGAGUGUGUGCGUGUGUGUGAGUGCAUGUGAGGUGUGUGCGAGGAGUGCGUGUGUAAGGAGUGUGUGAGGGUGUGAGGAGUGAGUGUGAGAGUGACUGAGUUUGCAAGUGUGUGUGUGUGAGUUUGCAAGUGUGUUUGUGAGUUUGCAAGUGUGUG
rnacentral:lncRNA from 10 species